rnacentral:rRNA from 1 species
UAUUAAUAAAUUUGUUUAGUAAAUAUAUGAUAAAAGACAAUAAAAAAGGUAAUUAAAUUAAUAAAGUAGUUUUUAAUAAAAAAUUGUAAAAGACUAUAGUUAAAAGUACUGAAAAGGAAAGUCUAAGGUAAAGUAAUAAUUUAUUUAGUAAAUAUUAAUUAUUGUACCUUGUGUAUCAGGGAAAACUUAAGUGAAGUAAAUAUUAAUAUUUGUCCCGAAUUAAAAAUAGCUAGUUUUAUAAUUAGUCUUUGUGGUAAAAAGGUUAUAAAUAUAAAGUUAAAGGUGAAAUGCCAUUCGAGUUUUAGGAUAUCUGGUUUUCUAAGAAAUAAAUAUAAUUUAGGCUUUUAGAUAUAUUUUGUAAAGGUCUAGGAAUAGAAGGGGUAAGCUUUUUAUUAAAAGGAAUUGAAUCUAAUUAAGUAAUAUUAUAAAUUUUUUAGGCUUGAAAGUAGUCAAAAAAAGAAAGUGUUUUAACUAAAAAAGUUUAUAUGUAAUUAUUUGAGGUUGGUUCUGUAAUAUUAUUAGAAUUUUUUUUUUAAUAAAAUUAAAAAAGUUAUAAUGGUUUUAUUAGUAUAAAAUUUGUUGUUUAUUGUAGAAAGUUAAAUAAAAUGUUAUGGUUUAAUAAAUAGAAGGAUAUAAAAAAGGAACUCGGCAAAUAUAUUCUUUGCCUGUUUAUCAAAAACAUGUCUAUUAGGAGAUAUUAACAGUCUAGCCUGCUCACUGAUAUAUUGUUUUAAGAGCCGCGGUAUUUUGACCGUGCAAAGGUAGCAUAAUCAUUAGUUUUUUAAUUGGAAGCUUGUAUGAAUGGUUGGACAAAAGAAUAGCUGUCUUUAUUAUAAAGGUUGAAUUUAACUUUUAAGUGAAAAGGCUUAAAUAAUUCAGGGGGACGAUAAGACCCUAUAAAGUUUUAUAGUUUACUCUUAUUUAACCUAAUUAUAACUGUCAUAUAAAGGUUUAAUUGGAGGAAAUAUUUUGUUGGGGCGACAUAGGUAUAAAUAUUAUAACUGCUUAUAUAUAAUACAAUAAUGGUUGUGUAAUUAAUUGAUCCUUUAUAAAGAUUUAAGAUUAAGUUACUUUAGGGAUAACAGCGUUAUUUUUUUUGAGAGUUCAUAUCGAAAAAGAAGUUUGCGACCUCGAUGUUGAAUUAAAUGUCUUCUUAGUGCAGCCGUUGAGAGAAGAAGGUCUGUUCGACCUUAAAAUUUUUACAUGAUUUGAGUUCAGACCGGCGUGAGCCAGGUUGGUUUCUAUCUCUUGAUAAUAAAAAGUUAUUUUAGUACGAAAGGAUUAAAUAACUAAAAGAUUUUUAGGUAAAAUGAAAU